rnacentral:tRNA from 1 species
CCAGGGCGGCACCGUCGAGCCCGCCAACCGUGCGCCAGUGGCCAUAGCGAAGUUCCAGACGCCGGAGCCGGAGCCCGGCGAACGCU